AACAGGGCGCGGGCUGCGGGCGGCGUGCGUGCACGCAGGCGCGCGGCUCACGAAUCUUCACGUGCCCCAUAGCAAACACCUCACAGACAACGACGUGGAGGCCUGCAUUCGGGCCUGUCUCAAUCUUAUGGAGCUGAAUGUGCAGUACUGUUCGUUAAUAACGCGUGAUGUUUUGCCGCGUGCAGCGGCCGCGCGGCGCGCCGUUUGCGCGCAUCUCCCGCUGCGCCUGCUUUUGUCCGACUUUGACUUGCGCCGCCAUGAUCCUGAGAACCACGAGCUGAUACCAACAUUUGAAGAGCUUGAUCUACCCUAGAUUCCUUUUUCACAAAG